GAGUUUGAUCCUGGCUCAGGACGAACGCUGGCGGCGUGCUUAACACAUGCAAGUCGAGCGGUAAGGCCCCUUUUGGGGGGUACACGAGCGGCGAACGGGUGAGUAACACGUGGGUGACCUGCCUUCAGCUCUGGGAUAAGCCUGGGAAACUGGGUCUAAUACCGGAUAUGACCUUGGGACGCAUGUUUUGGGGUGGAAAGUUUUUUCGGCUGGAGAUGGGCCCGCGGCCUAUCAGCUUGUUGGUGGGGUGAUGGCCUACCAAGGCGACGACGGGUAGCCGGCCUGAGAGGGCGACCGGCCACACUGGGACUGAGACACGGCCCAGACUCCUACGGGAGGCAGCAGUGGGGAAUAUUGCGCAAUGGGCGGAAGCCUGACGCAGCGACGCCGCGUGGGGGAUGACGGCCUUCGGGUUGUAAACCUCUUUCGCCAUCGACGAAGCUUCUGGUUUUUGCUGGGGGUGACGGUAGGUGGAGAAGAAGCACCGGCCAACUACGUGCCAGCAGCCGCGGUAACACGUAGGGUGCGAGCGUUGUCCGGAAUUAUUGGGCGUAAAGAGCUCGUAGGCGGUGUGUCGCGUCGGCCGUGAAAACUUUCAGCUUAACUGGGAGCGUGCGGUCGAUACGGGCAUCACUUGAGUUCGGCAGGGGAGACUGGAAUUCCUGGUGUAGCGGUGAAAUGCGCAGAUAUCAGGAGGAACACCGGUGGCGAANGCGGGUCUCUGGGCCGAUACUGACGCUGAAGAGCGAAAGCGUGGGGAGCGAACAGGAUUAGAUACCCUGGUAGUCCACGCUGUAAACGUUGGGCGCUAGGUGUGGGGGCCAUUCCACGGUCUCUGUGCCNCANCUAACGCAUUAAGCGCCCCCCUGGGGAGUACGGCCGCAAGNNUAAACUCAAAGGAAUUGACNGGGGCCCNCACAACGGCGGAACAUGUGNAUUAUUCNAUGCACNCGANANCUUACUGGUUNANUGCCUAAANCCGCAAAAUUCUUGCCUUNNGCUGGGUCAGUGUCAUGCUUCCCACUNUUCUGAAUUGGUAAUCCCACANGCACUUUUCUNUUCACCUUU
rnacentral:rRNA from 1 species